AAUAACUUAAACACUAGUCACCAAAAACCAAAAAAAUAUACACUAACUAAAACAAUGAAACCCUAAAAGUCAGGCUUCAUCUCCUCGCCUCUCGAACCCUAAGGCGCCGUCAGCUUCACUUCGCGAUCGAACCCAGCCCUGGUCGCCUCUCUCUCUGGCGGUGCUGCUCGCCGCUGUCUGUCGCGGUGCUGGUCGCCCUAUCGCGGUUCUGCUCAACCUCAUCUUCUCGAACCCAGCCCUGGUCGUGGUGCUCCUCGCCUCUCUGUCGCGGUUCUGCUCACCUCUCAUCUUCUCAUCUUCUUGAAGCUUUCUGGUGGAGUUGCCCCUACUGCAUAAAGAUCUUUUUGCAUCUGGAUUACGCAAGAGAUCCAGCGUUCUCCCGUAUGAUCCUCUUGGAACUGGCAGAACAUUAUUAGCAAAUGUUGUUGCUACUGAAUUUGUUAACUUGAUAUUGGGAUAAUAACAAGUUCAAAUGGAAGCAUGCUUGGUCAGAUGUGAGCAGCAGUAAUAUAACUAAAGAUCUUGUUACAACUUUGAAAAAAAGAAAUAUCCUCCUUGUUACAAGGACAUAAGUUUCUGGAUCAAUGAAUCAUUUACUGAAAACAAGCUGUGUGAACUUGUUAGAGGAAUUGCUGGGGAUCUUGUAGAAGAGGCUUUUAAUAGUUGUGUUUUCGCUGCUGUUGCUGCUCCCACCUGUCUUGGUUUGCUUCUGCUGUGGUACUGCUAUUGCUGCUAGGGUACGGAUUUAGUUUCUGCAGUGCUAGUUGACUGCUAGGGUUUAGGGGCAGUGAUAAAAACAAUGGAGUUCAUAAUGGAUGAUCACACUACUCAUGAAAUUUGAUAUUUUGUAACUAAAUAUAUAAAAGAAGUAGAUAUGUGACACUUGUUGGAAUUGUAAUUCUUAUUUACUUGUUAUGAUUUUACACUUUUUGGUACUUUGUAAUCAAAGCCUACUUUUGUGGUGACAAUUUUAUAUGUAUGUCUUUUUUAAUGGAAAAGUUUAUAUUUCUUGGAUUAA